rnacentral:rRNA from 1 species
GGCCAGACUCCUACGGGAGGCAGCAGUGGGGGAUAUUGGACAAUGGGGGAAACCCUGAUCCAGCGACGCCGCGUGAGUGAAGAAGUAUUUCGGUAUGUAAAGCCCUGUCAGCAGGGAAGAAAAUGACGGUACCUGAAGAAGAAGCCCCGGCUAACUACGUGCCAGCAGCCGCGGUAAUACGUAGGGGGCAAGCGUUAUCCGGAUUUACUGGGUGUAAAGGGGGCGCAGACGGCGAUGCAAGCCAGGAGUGAAAGCCCGGGGCCCAACCCCGGGACUGCUCUUGGAACUGCGUGGCUGGAGUGCAGGAGGGGCAGGCGGAAUUCCUGGUGUAGCGGUGAAAUGCGUAGAUAUCAGGAGGAACACCGGUGGCGAAGGCGGCCUGCUGGACUGCAACUGACGUUGAGGCCCGAAAGCGUGGGGAGCAAACAGGAUUAGAUACCCCCGUACUC